rnacentral:tRNA from 1 species
GGACCCUUAGCUCAGCUGGUCAGAGCAGUCGGCUCAUAACCGAUCGGUCCCGGGUUCGAAUCCCUGAGGGUCCA